UACGUAGGGCCCAAGCGUUAUCCGGAAUCACUGGGCGUAAAGCGUGCGUAGGCGGCGUGUUAAGUGAGAUGUUAAAUCGUGUGGCUCAACCAUAUCGAUGCAUUUCGUACUGGCAUGCUAGAGGAAGGCAGAGGCAAGUGGAAUUGGCAGUGUAGCAGUGAAAUGCGUAGAGAUUGCCAGGAACACCAAUGGCGAAGGCAGCUUGCUGGGCCUUUUCUGACGCUGAGGUACGAAAGCGUGGGGAGCGAACAGG
rnacentral:rRNA from 1 species